ACCCGCUGAACUUAAGCAUAUCAAUAAGCGGAGGAAAAGAAACCAACCGGGAUUGCCUCAGUAACGGCGAGUGAAGCGGCAAGAGCUCAAAUUUGAAAGCUGGCCCCUCCGGGGUCCGCGUUGUAAUUUGCAGAGGAUGCUUUGGGUGCGGCCCCCGUCUAAGUGCCCUGGAACGGGCCGUCAGAGAGGGUGAGAAUCCCGUCUUGGGCGGGGUGUCCGUGCCCGUGUAAAGCUCCUUCGACGAGUCGAGUUGUUUGGGAAUGCAGCUCUAAAUGGGUGGUAAAUUUCAUCUAAAGCUAAAUACUGGCCGGAGACCGAUAGCGACAAGUAGAGUGAUCGAAAGAUGAAAAGCACUUUGAAAAGAGAGUUAAACAGCACGUGAAAUUGUUGAAAGGGAAGCGCUUGCGACCAGACUCGCCCUCGGGGUUCAGCCGGCACUCGUGCCGGUGUACUUCCCCGGGGGCGGGCCAGCGUCAGCUUGGGCGGCCGGUCAAAGGCCUCCGGAAUGUAGUGCCCCCCGGGGCACCUUAUAGCCGGAGGUGCAAUGCGGCCAGCCUGGGCUGAGGAACGCGCUUCGGCACGGACGCUGGCAUAAUGGUCGCAAACGACC
rnacentral:rRNA from 1 species